AAUCUAGCGGAAACACUUCCGGACAGGCUUGGGUCUGGACACCAGUGUGCGGAAGUGCUUCUGCUAAGUU
rnacentral:pre_miRNA from 13 species